CCACAUAUAAGUGAUAACAUAGAGUAUUUGUCUUCCUCUGUCUGACUUAUCUCACUGGAAUUUACUUUAUUAAAAAAUCCUCACCACAUCUGAAAAAUAGGGAAACAAAUUUACGUUCCCAGCAUGAGUGAAGAACAGAUGAACAUUUGUAGCCAUACAUCCUGUCUGCCCAGGCUGAGUGCCCAAAAAGGAUAAGCAGCAGAUAGGGAAGAGGCCCAGGAAAAGGAGGAGAGAGCCUCCCAGGGUGUGAGCAGAUGAAACACAUCCCUCCACUGGGUGAAUUGGUAUAAAAAGGAAUGUCCACAUGCACUUUCACCUUUUGGUUCCUGGACAUAAACCUUCUGGCUAUGGGUUAGAUGUCACUAUACUUGGCCCCUGGAGGAGAACGCAGCCAAUCCAAGGCCACCUGUCAGGGAGGGAGCCCUGACCUCACUCUCUGCCCACUUUCCAGUCUCCCAAACAGCAACCAGAGAGAAGACCAUUAACCUAGUCCAUGAAGGUCUGACUCGUAAGGCAUACAGGACAGUUAAGAGAAGUGGACAGUCAAUCUGGAAGAGCAAAAGGAAGAAGUCAAGCACGUGGUCAAAUAAAGCGGGCUAUGUUUGCCCCAAAAUAAGUAAUAUAAGUUGAAGAGUAAGAAGAAGGUUUCAUCAAUCUUGUUUCAUUUCACUUUCCACAAAGCCACUAAGAUCCCGUCCCUAACAGAACAGGAUGUGCCACUGCUCCUUCAGUAAGAAAACAGGAAGCUGGACGGGUGUUGAGAAAGUAUCAUUAAAUUCUGUGCUUUCUAGUUGAUAAACUUCAUAGAGAGGAGCAUGUGUUUCUUUGUUAUUUCCUCAGGGCUUGGAAAUCCUAGUGCCCAAGGCAGGAAUGCUUUUGUCAGGUGACACAGUCAUGGUUUCUUUGAACUUCAAAUUCCAUCGGCCGAAAUUAAAUGGAAAUCAAUGAUUUCCAAUGUGCCCAUUAGUGGAAUCCAUAGGGGUUAGCCUUCUGCGUCGAGAGCCGGUCGAAAGUCUAUCUUCUCCCUACUCUCCAGGUGAAGAUCCCAUGAGGCUGAUUUUCUAGCAACCUUCCAUGAGAGGUAGAAGAUCAUGUUCUCAGGCAAUAGGAGUGCCAAACAACCUUGCAGACAGAAACCCCUCCUGUGCAAUGAAGUGUGAAGUUUUUGCUCAUCACGGCAUCUGCAUCUGGACAAAACAGAAGUAAAGAAAGCAAGAACGUCGUAGCACAGUGUUAAUAAGAAGACUGCAUAUUUUUGGCACUAUCUGUACUACUUAGUGUCUAUAAUAAGGUAAAAAAAGACAUUUAAGCCCAAUAAGCCACCCUGAGCAUUAACACUGUCUCUCACUUGCCAGACAGGAUCACUGGGAAUCAAGAGAGAAAACAAGAUUUCAUUUUGUAAAGAAGCAAAAGUUGUUAGAGAAGAGGGGAGAAAAAAAAUGGUCAAGACAGAGCCCAUUACAGGCCUUUCUAACCAUCAAAUUUCAUGUUACUCUAAGUGCUCAAAGGUUUCUGAGGUAUUUUUAAUAUUAUGAAAUGUGUGAAUUCUUUUUAAAAAUAAAAUAAAAUUCAAAAGUAAUAAAAGUUUUCUAUUAGAUAAUAUAGGGGCCACAGAAGUGACAUAGAAAAAAAUUAUCCAUGAUCCCAACCUCCAGAGGUGACCAUUGCAAAUUAGCACCCUUUCCUCUAUCUUGGGCUGAUGCUCUAAACCCAUUCUCAGGGCUGAAAGUAAAGAUCACCCAAGACAAAAGAAUCAAAUGGAUUUCCAGGUGGGCCUAGCAAUUUUCAGAAUUGUGGUUUUUCCAAGUUGACGCUUAGCGAACAGACAUCACUUUUCCCACAGUACUAGUAUGUACAGGGAGUUGGCAGUAGAUGAUAUGAUAUGAUAUGAUUUAUGAUUUUUAAGGUUUUCCUAGACUUUACUCAGCAUUAAUUCGAUAAUAUAAUGUUGGUUCUAUUACUCAAAGUCAUUGUGAAUCACCCACCUCAGCUGUGAGAGAAAGUUACAUUGAGUCAAAGUCAUCAGGAGAUUUCAGGCAUCCAUCUGUACAAAUUCCCCCAUCCACCCAUCGGGUAAUGCAAACACCUCAAUAAUAAUGGAAAUAUAGCCCUCACUUCAACAGACAUUAAUUGAGCCCCUUCUGUAUUCGGUACUGUACAUGCUAAUCAAAUGCUUUCCAUGCUCUAUGAACCAUUUAAUUGCCAAUGUUUACUUAGGAGAGGGCUGGUUUGCCUCGGGCUGGUUUGCCUUUGGUGUGUGCUGCCGAAGUGUCCUUGAUGAAGUUCACUUUAACCUAAAGAAGGGCAUGAGGAGUAAGUGACUCCAAAUAUAGACUUUUUUUCCUCCCAUAAGGCUUGUUGCUCCAUAAGCAAGACCACUGUCAGUCUCACCUGUGUGUGCCCUAAGGGUACUAGGGACCUGUGAUUGGAAACUUAGAUUGAAAUUGAUUGGGGAUGGCUUCUCAAAAGGCUUUCUUCAUAGCUAGCUAAUCUCUCUUUAAAUAAACUGUAAGUCAGCCACACUAUGACAGAUGUGAUGCUAAGACCUGGAUAUAAAGAGGUGUGUGUGUGUGUGUGUGUUCCUGUACGUAUAGCUGCCCUCAUCGUUACUUUGUUUGUUUCAUUUAUUACUAGCUAACAUUUACUGAGUUCUCACAGUAUGCUGAGCACUGGACCAAAUCCUUAAUAUGCGUCAUCUCAGGAACACUCACACAACCAGGAGGACCUCUAUUUUACAGAGACCCCCAAAGGCUUGUGUCAAUACCUGACUCCAGUUUUUAAAUGCAGGAGCAUCCUCAUUCUGGGUUUGCUUUAAUUGUCUUGGAGGAGAACAUUGCCUUGAUGCUCGCUGCAUCCAUCCCCCAGGGACCAGCACCUCACCUGCUGCCCGCUCCUGGACAUCCCCAGCUAUGCAGUGACUGACACCUCAGAGGAUCUCUUCAUGCCCAGAACUUGGAAGCAGUAAUGGGACUCUCCAGGGAAACAUGCUCUGGACAGCGGGUGUACAGACCUAGAGAGAGGGAGACUGAUGCUGCCCUGCCCCGCCACCCCACUCCAGCAGCCAUUGGAAGAAGCAAGAAAACAAGGAAAAUGAGUCUCUUGGAACCUUACAGAGUUUGGAGAAGCCUGGCGGCAUCAUCAGAUGUCGCAGAAAUCACUUGGUCGCUGGCCGGUUCUUGGAGAGCAGAGCAAGAGCAAAGAACACGGGCUUGAGAAGAGCUGUCCUGCUUUGGCUCCUGGGUUUGAGGCUCCACAUUAGGAAUGUCUGCAUUUGUUGCCUUUGAAUGUUUCUCAAAAGAAAGGAAGAGCUUGGGUAACUCCAACUUCAUGGAGACCAGAGUAUUGAAACUACUGAAAGUAUUUCAAGCCUUUGAUAUUCAACGUUACUAAAUUUUUCUCUUCAGUACACAUUUUAAGAGAAACUAUUAUCUUAUCUUCUGCCAAAGCUGUACUAUCUGUUCGCCAAAUAGAUUUAUGGUGGGAAAUCAUCUUGAUGCAAAAAGAGACUAAAAACAGUUCUCCCCACCCUCAGGUUGUUUACCGUAUCCACAAGGUCCAUGAAUCACAUGCACCCUAUUGCCAAUUUGCACAUUAAUCACACAGAAAUCACAGGGAUCUGCAGGGGACCUUCUUUGAGAAGCUUUUUGCUAUGGACACACGUGCUUGAACUUAACUGGGAUUAUCUAGCUACGGUUUCACCCUUGGUCCCAGCUAGUAGCAGAGGCAUCAUCUAGGACCUUGUUAGAAAUGCAGGGUCUCAGGCCCCACCCCAAACCUACUGAAUUGGAAUCUGCGUCUUAAUGAAGUCCAGGGAAUUCAUGUAUGUAUAAAGGUAGCACUGCCUUUUGCACUCUGCAUUACAUUGUAAGCAUUUCACAACCACCUGUCUUAAAUCCCCCAAAUGCAUGCGUCAAAGGAUGUGUUGGUGUAAGAGCGACAGUAGGUCCCAGGUGACCUGGAUGCUUCAGAGAGAUGUGCCUGCACUCAUGGUGGGCUGGGUACCAGUGUCUUCUAUCUGGGGUGGGAUGGAUGACACGUAUUUUUCUAUGCCAGGCUCAGUUACUGUGCUUUUAGGAUUUGUUCAUGCCUUGGUUUGUGGAAAAUUCUCCAGAGCUUGGCUAAUACUUUGAGUACUAUUCAUGCUUUGACUCACUUUGUAUAUUUAAGCGUAAAGAGCGUUAACAUGAAAAAAUACACUGGUAACAGUGAAUCUAGUAAAAUUUUGUGAUUUUUUUUUUUCUGUUUCAGUCUUACAAUCUUCAGUUAUGUGCUCAACGGAUGCAUUUGAUUUUCAUUAAAAUAUUCCUGGGGUAAAUGACACAAAUGAUAAGUAAAGAAUGUAAGAAAUAUAUUUUUUUAAUUUGGUUACCCUUGCGUCAGAGAGUAGCCAUCUUCCUGACAUUUGCUCUCGGCAGGAGGCACUUGGCUAAAAGAUCACUGAAUUCUAGGCUUUCCAAUUUAUCCCAAACAUGGAGAGGAAUAAUUCUGAUCCCCAGACAGGUUUCUGCUUCACAGUUUCAAUAUAGGCACAUUCUGUAGCCUGUCGGGGAAACUGACCUUUACUGUGGCUCUACAAUUUUCCAGGUGCUAUCCCAGGUGUUUUACACUUACUGCAUAUUAUUCACCCAACAGCCCUAUUAGAUAUAGUCCCGCUUUCUACACAAGUCAACUCAUACUUAGUGACUUGCCCAGUCCGUAAACCAGGAUUGCAGCAGUCUAACUCUAAAUUCUGUGUUUUUUCACACCAAACGGCAACCAAGAAAGCAACGCACCUCUAAAUCAGAGUUCCACAGUGAUCCUGAGACCCGGCACCUCCACAGACCUGCCACGUCCUACUGACAACUCCCAAGCGAGCAGCGUUUGCUGAAGAAUUCAAGCAUGUUCUUACAGCCAAUGCAUUCACUUACACUCUUGGAUUUGUAGAUUAUAAAUAAAAUUUUUUUUGAGAUUUGUAGAUUAUAAAUAAAAUUUUUAAGCUGA